rnacentral:misc_RNA from 1 species
CGGCUCUCUUCUCUGGGCACGCAACUCUCUCCCUUUCUGUGUAAAAAAGAAAAGAAAAGAAGAGGAAAGAAGCUAAAGUAGAUCUAUCAAGCAAAGCCAUGUCCAGCGAGAACGAGCCCGCGAAACUGCUGUUGCCGUACCUACAACGAGCCGACGAGCUGCAAAAACACGAUCCUUUGGUCGCUUACUACUGUCGAUUAUAUGCGAUGGAGAAAGGGUUAAAGAUUCCACAGAACGAGCGCACCAAGACCACCAAUUCUCUCUUUAUUUCCCUUAUGAAUCAACUUGAAAAGGAUAAGAAGUCGCUGAAGUUGGGACCUGAAGACAAUUUGCAUCUGGAAGGAUUUGCACUAAAUGUGUUUGGGAAGGCAGACAAGCAAGAUCGUGCUGGCCGAGCAGACUUGUAUUACAUUUUUCCUCACGUUUAACCUUUUUAUCAGUAGGGAAUGAUACUUAUGCAGGGCCUUUAGUAGCAUUUCUUUUUGUUUAACUUAUAUUAGAGACGGUGGAUCUAGGUGCCAAACUCUCUCACGGAACUUAUCUUUUGGGAUUUCCUCUUUGUUUCAUAAUAUAUUUUGAUCCAUUCUCUAGAGUGGAAGCUGGUUUCAAAUCCAAUGAUAAAGAAGUAGCUAUAUCCCUAGAGUCAUGUGGUUCUGUUGGGGCCACUAGGUCAUAUAUUAGUAGGACAUAUAAUCUAUGUGACUUGUGCUGAGUGCAUGGUGACAGAUGAUGUUCAUGCUUCAUACAUCAUAAUAAUUAUAUCUAUGUAAUUCAGUUACAUACAGCUAUUUGUGUGUGUAUGCAAUACCACCUCAUCCAACGUGCAUGCCUCACUGCUUACAUUUCUUGUACCAGUGAAAAUGGGAUUGUGCAGAGUUUCAGUUUGACUUAGCAUAUGACAGCUUUUGUGAUUGGGACCCAAUCUAUUAUUGUAACAUUUUUUGUGAGCAGCAUAGUGUGUGCACAUAUGAUUGAUUUAUGAACCACAAGAAAGAAAAAUUAUGUUCUUGCAAUUUCAUGUGAUUGUGGUCAUUUGAUUUGAUGGACUCAUUUCAAUGUUAAGGAGCCUAACCAUGAUACUUGUCCUUUAGGUCCCUCUGAACUUUACUUGGGGGGGAACCAUGGAGUGGGAAAUGAUCAUUUAUUUGGGCCAUCCAAGAGUUAAUGGACCUAAUCUGUGUACAUCAGUUUUUGUAUCAUAGUAAUUAUUGGUACUUGAAUAAGAUGUUUGAAUUUUUUUUUUUUAUAUGGCAGUUAUGUUCAUAUUCAUGUAACUCAUUGCAAAAUUGUCUGUUCUGGAUUUUGGAAUUAAAUCCUGUGCCUGGUUACAGGAAUACUGCAAAAACAUUUUAUGCGGCAAGCAUUUUCUUUGAGAUUCUAAACCAGUUUGGUGCCCUUCAGCCUGAUCUGGAGCAGAAGCAGAAGUAUGCAGUUUGGAAAGCUGCAGAUAUAAGGAAAGCUUUGAAAGAAGGAAGGAAGCCCAAUCCAGGUCCUCCUGAUGGUGAUGAAGAUUUGUCAGUUCCAUCCAUUGCACCUGGUGGUGGUUAUGUAUGUUUUUAAAAUUAAUGUUAGCUAAGCGUCUUGAGCUUAUCAAUGAAACAACAUCUGCUAUUUCUUUUUAUAACUUUAACUCUGGAAGAUCUAACUAAAAAGGGAAGGUGUUUUGGUUUUUGUUGGGGCAAGUAGGUGAUGGAGGGUGUUGGUUGAAGCAUUUUAGUAGUUUGAUUGCAAAACUGGUCAUAAAUGUAAUUCUGAUCUCCUUACUAUAGUUUUCUCAUCUUUAAAAGUUCACAAAUAGUUGUACAUAAGGGAAUCUACUAAUUUUGCAAUCGCAUUUCAUUUUGCGAUUUGGUAUCUUUCAAAACCUUUUUGUAAAUUGGAUUAUCAAUGUUGGAAUAAUAGAUAAUCUAGGUUUUGUUUCGUUACUAAGGAUAAGGAAAUGAGAACAAAAAUGAUCUCUCAUUUCUGAUCUCUUAGACACAAGGAAAUGGACCUUUGAGAAUUUACUAGUGCGGGGUCAGUAAAUUUGAUAAUGGAAGUGUCUCAUUUAUUCUUAUAUUAGCAAACAAUCUGUGAAAAUCUAGAAAAUUUUGAAGAAUCUUCAAGCUAUGGUUGUGCUUGCAGGAUCUUGGGCCUACUGAAACUUCAGUUACCAGUCCUCGACCAGAAUCUGAUUAUUCAUCACGCUUCCAUGAUCAAGUCAAUGACCAGCAUUAUACAAGCAUUCCACCAUCAAGCCAGCUCCAUGAGAAGGUGAACAAUCAGCAUUCUGCAAACAUUGUAUCACAGACUCAGUUUCAUGAUUCUGUUAACAACCACCAUUCUACAGGCAUCCUGCCAUCACCUCCUUCUUACCCUUCUGCUGGUUAUGCUUCCCAUGAUUUUCAUCCACCACCUCCAGCCAGCAGAUCAGAGAAUGAUACAUAUUCUCAGCCGUACCACCAUCAAUCCUACUCGCAAGAACUUCAUCAGCAUGCGCCACAUAAUUAUCCAUCUCAUGACACUUCCUCCUACUCAUAUCCCAACUUCCAGUCUUAUCCCGGCUUCACAGAGAGCAGUUUCCCAUCUGCCCCCUCACAUUAUCCUUCUUAUUAUCAGGGCUCAGAUUCUUCCUAUGCUCCACAGUCAGCUCCUCCAAGCAGCUAUCUAUCAACUGCCCAAUAUACUACAAGCAGUACAAAUGGGACUGACUCGGAUCCUGGCCCUACUUCAACUCAAACAUACCAAUAUGACAGCAAUUACCAGCCUCCACCUGAGAAAAUUGCUGAGGCACACAAGGCUGCAAGAUUUGCAGUUGGAGCCUUGGCAUUUGAUGAUGUGUCAGUUGCAGUGGACUACUUAAAGAAAUCUCUUGAACUACUGACAAAUCCAUCGGCCAAUCAGUAAGUUAUUUUCAUCUGCAUCAGAUUUUUGUGGUGCUUUUAUCAUUUGGUCUUUAGCUUUUUAAUGCUUUGAUGUGUAAAGUGAUUGGAUAUUUGCACAAAAAAGCUAUGGUUGACCAUUUUGACAUUUAAUGUGAAUAGAAGUUAUUGCUAUUAGUUUCUUCAGUUCUCUGUGGCAUUAUGCAUAUGUUUGGAUGUCAACGCUACAAGAAAUGUCUGGAUUACCAAGGGAUCAACAGAUUUUUCAAUCCUUUGCUAAAUAGCUGAGACUUUUCAAUGGAUUUUAUUUUAGCGUAUUUUUUCAAUCUGAAAACCUGUUCCAUCAGUUAUAGAAUUUGAAUGGGAUGGACAUAUUUCUUUCUCAUUUCUUCUGUUUUCUUGUCAUUUUGAUCCAAUAAUUAAUGCGGAUCGUAGACUGGAAUGUGCAGCUCUUGGUAGGAAAUGAAUAAACAAUGAGGUGCAAUAGCUUAUAGCUCUUGUGGAACUCAAAGUAAUGCAGUCCAUUUUAGAGUUUGGGGCGAUAACAAUGUCAGUUUACACUCUAUUUGGGAAUGAAUGCGAGGGAGGAAAGAAAAUUAGUGGGGAAAAUAUCACUGGAUUUCUUCAUUUAUUUUCCUUUUGUUUGGAUGAGAGGCAAAUGAAAGGAGGGAAUCUUUCCUUUUAUUUUCCUCCCACAUAUUUCUAUUUUCUCAUUCAAAUUGGCGAGAUUCAAAUUAGGUGGGCCCAAGGGAAUUUUUCCUCUUCUUAUCUUCAACUUUUUUUUUCCUUCCCUUCUUGUUUUCCACUCUCCCAAACAAAGGUUUAGUGUGAUAUAUGAGUAAUGAGGGUAAUGGCAUGAACGCAAAGGGCUAAAGCACGAGUCAAACCAUAGUGCCAAGAGUUUAUGUGGAGAUGAUAAGUAUAUACAUGCGAAAUAUUAUGAAGCUACGUCUGUAUGUGAAGCAUACAAAAUUUCAAGCGGUAUUGAGGUUCUGGGCUAUUGGUUGAACCUUUAUGAGUUCACUUAAUACUAGGCAAUUGUUAUUUGUUAACCAAGUAUCUCUGCUAUAACUUAAAGAUUAUCAAAUUAGUAAAUUUGUCUUUUGUCAGAUCAUAGUUUAUACUUUAUAAUGCUAUGAUACUGCUGCAAUUGGAACCUGUUGUUCAUUCCAAAUUAGGUCUUAAGAUUUAACUGGGAGGACACCCAUUUGUUUGUCAAGGCUAGCUUACAUUCCCACUGAAUGAUGUCCGUGCUUGCUGGCGUAAAUUAGGCAGCCUGCUCAUUAAUCAAGUAUAGCCAGUGUUUCUGUUGUACUCGUGCGGGAUAAAAAAAAUAGAAGUGCCUAUUACCUUCAAGCUUAUGUGAUGUUUUGGACUAGUAGUUUGCUAUCUCAUUUCGAGCAUAGCAUUUAAGCCUUUUUUAUGCUGCUUCAGGCAACAGUUACUUUUUGUUGCUGUUAGUAUCUUGAAUCUAUUAAAAAUCUCAUUCUGAUCCUGAUCCUCUGAUCGAACUAUAUCUUGGAUGUCCUUGUUCUGUUUAGCCCAUCAUGGCAUUUAUAACAUGAUUCAGCUAUCAAAUACCUUACAAUGGAGUCAUGAAUCUUAUUCAUUUUUUGGUUGUCCAUGUGGGGGAUGGUUCCAAGGCGAGCAUAAAUCUUACAAGCUAAUGAUCCGACUUUUUUGGUGUCACUUCCAUCUGCAUGUCUCGCUUUGAUGGAUGAUGUGAACAAGGAGAGAUUCUAAGAGUGUCAAUUCAAGUUCUAUGUCAAAAUGUGCAAGUGACGUGUUAAAUACUCUUUGAUUUAACACUUGAUUGGUAGCAAAAACAAAGAUUGCUUUGUCCUUGCCAUUGAAGGUGUUUUGUCCUGCUUUUGCUUAGUUUUGAACAAAUUUGUGAUCUAAGUGUUGUUGCAUUAAUCACCAGUCGAUCGGAUAAGCCUAAAGACAAUGUUAUCAUCUUUUAUUAUUAUUUUUUUAAACCAAUAAUUAGUUGGUUACUGAUGAUGAUGAAUAUAAUUAUGCCGCUGAAAUGGGGUCGUAUUAUUGUUUUAACAAAAUUUCUUGUGUGUUUAUUAAUAUGAUAAUAACCAAGUUCCAUCUUGGAGAUAACGUCAGGGUAGCAUCCUGCAUAUAAUGUCCACCAAACAGUUUCUAAUCAACGACUAAUAGUGUUGGCCCUGAGAAGCAAUGGGAAUAGGUCGUUCUUGUUUCGGGCAACCGAGCUCCCAAGGACAGCCCAAAGGAUAUUUGAAUGAUCAGGAUGUUGGUUUAUCAUCAUCUAUUGUUGAGUUCAUGAAGCGAGCAUGUUCUUGGAGAAGGAAUGAGAUAAAGAAGAGGCAGUUUUAACCGCAAGAGCAGCAGCAGCAGCAGCCUGAAAAAGACGAUGAGUUCUCUACUCUGGAGGAAUGUCUAUUAGCUUCACCAUUGUUGAAUAGCUAUAACACUAAUGAAGACGAAGUAAACCACCAUGCUCUGAAGCAGAACAAGUUAUGUACCUUCGAUUAUGUCUCUAACCCAAGGCAAAGGCUUCUAAAGGUUGAUGAAGUCGACAGUAGUGAAGUUAAUGCUCCUUCUUCGUUGAGCAGAAGCCAAAGUGGGAAGAUGAAGAAGAGGGUAAGCUUUAGACUACUAGAAGAGGCUGAUAUAAUCGUAUAUUAGAUACUGCUUAAUUUUCUCGAGCAAGUGCUACUUUGGAUUGUGGGAAUUUCCUAAAUGGUAAUGAUAAUGUUAAAAUUAAUCUUACUAGCUACUAAAUUUUGUGUAAGAUGUGCUAAUAAGGGUGGGAAAACAGUUGUCAAAUUUGUUUGGAAAAUAAUGAAAAAUUGGCAACACUUUUUCAUGUAAUUAAUAUUCUCCAUGAUGCAGUGAAAACUAUUACGGC